GAUGAAGAACGCAGCGAAAUGCGAUAAGUAGUGUGAAUUGCAGAAUUCAGUGAAUCAUCGAAUCUUUGAACGCACAUUGCGCCCCUUGGUAUUCCAUGGGGCAUGCCUGUUCGAGCGUCAUUUGUACCUUCAAGCUCUGCUUGGUGUUGGGUGUUUGUCUCGCCUCUGCGUGUAGACUCGCCUCAAAACAAUUGGCAGCCGGCGUAUUGAUUUCGGAGCGCAGUACAUCUCGCGCUUUGCACUCAUAACGACGACGUCCAAAAGUACAUUUUUACACUCUUGACCUCGGAUCAGGUAGGGAUACCCGCUGAACUUAAGCAUAUCAAUCAGCGGAGGA
rnacentral:misc_RNA from 1 species